CGCGGGAUGGAGAAGUAGUAUCUCGCCUGGCUCAUAACCAGGAGAUCGCUGGUGCAAUCCCAGCUCCCGCUA
rfam:Candidatus Andersenbacteria bacterium RIFCSPHIGHO2_12_FTLL_45_11b rifcsphigho2_12_scaffold_6748, whole genome shotgun sequence.